rnacentral:rRNA from 1 species
GAUGAACGCUGGCGGCGUGCUUAACACAUGCAAGUCGAACGGAAAGGCUCCUGCUUGCAGGGGUACUCGAGUGGCGAACGGGUGAGUAACACGUGGGUGAUCUGCCCUGCACUUCGGGAUAAGCCUGGGAAACUGGGUCUAAUACCGGAUAGGACGAUGGUUUGGAUGCCAUUGUGGAAAGUUUUUCGGUGUGGGAUGAGCUCGCGGCCUAUCAGCUUGUUGGUGGGGUAAUGGCCUACCAAGGCGUCGACGGGUAGCCGGCCUGAGAGGGUGUACGGCCACAAUGGGACUGAGAUACGGACCAGACUCCUACAGGAGGCAGCAGUGGGGAAUAUUGCACAAUGGGCGCAAGCCUGAUGAAGCGACGCCGCGUGGGGGAUGACGGCCUUCGGGUUGUAAACUCCUUUCGUCAGGGACGAAGCGAAAGUGACGGUACCUGGAUAAGAAGCACCGGCUAACUACGUG